GGGGGGGCAAGCGUUUGUUCGGAAUUACUGGGCGUAAAGGGCGCGUAGGCGGACGGGAAAGUCUUUCGUGAAAUCCCACGGCUCAACCGUGGAACUGCGGGAGAUACUACUCGUCUUGAAUUCGGGAGAGGAGUGUGGAAUUCCCAGUGUAGCGGUGAAAUGCGUAGAUAUUGGGAGGAACACCGGUGGCGAAGGCGGCACUCUGGACCGAUACUGACGCUGAGGCGCGAAAGCGUAGGGGAGCAAACGGGAUUAGAUACCCGGUAGUCCUAGCUGUAAACGCUGAGCACUUGGUGUAGCGGUAUCGACCCCUGCUGUGCCGAAGCUAACGCAUUAAGUGCUCCGCCUGGGGAGUACGGUCGCAAGGCUG
rnacentral:rRNA from 1 species